UACGUAGGUGGCAAGCGUUGUCCGGAUUUACUGGGCGUAAAGGGUGCGUAGGCGGCGGGGCAAGUCAGGUGUGAAAUCCCGGAGCUCAACUCCGGAACUGCACUUGAUACUGCCUCGCUAGAGUACUGGAGAGGAGACUGGAAUUUACGGUGUAGCAGUGAAAUGCGUAGAGAUCGUAAGGAAGACCAGUGGCGAAGGCGAGUCUCUGGACAGUUACUGACGCUGAGGCACGAAGGCCAGGGGAGCAAACGGGG
rnacentral:rRNA from 1 species